ACUCCUACGGGAGGCAGCAGUGAGGAAUAUUGGUCAAUGGGCGGAAGCCUGAACCAGCCAUGCCGCGUGCAGGAUGACGGCCCUACGGGUUGUAAACUGUUUUUGCGCGGGACGAAUAACCCCCUCGUGAGGGGGGAUGCCGGUACCGCGCGAAUAAGGAUCGGCUAACUCCGUGCCAGCAGCCGCGGCAAUACGGAGGAUCCGAGCGUUAUCCGGAUUUACUGGGUUUAAAGGGUGCGUAGGCGGGCGCCUAAGUCAGCGGUGAAAUGCAGCGGCUCAACCGUUGAGCUGCCGUUGAUACUGGGCGCCUUGAAUUCGGUCGAGGCCGGCGGAAUGCACGGUGUAGCGGUGAAAUGCUUAGAUAUCGCGCAGAACGCCGAUUGCGAAGGCAGCUGGCCGGGCCGAGAUUGACGCUGAGGCACGAAAGCGUGGGGAUCGAACAGGAUUAGAUACCCUGGUAGUC
rnacentral:rRNA from 1 species